GACGAACGCUGGCGGCGUGCUUAACACAUGCAAGUCGAACGGAAAGGCCCUGCUUUUGUGGGGUGCUCGAGUGGCGAACGGGUGAGUAACACGUGAGUAACCUGCCCUUGACUUUGGGAUAACUUCAGGAAACUGGGGCUAAUACCGGAUAGGAGCUCCUGCUGCAUGGUGGGGGUUGGAAAGUUUCGGCGGUUGGGGAUGGACUCGCGGCUUAUCAGCUUGUUGGUGGGGUAGUGGCUUACCAAGGCUUUGACGGGUAGCCGGCCUGAGGGGGUGACCGGCCACAUUGGGACUGAGAUACGGCCCAGACUCCUACGGGAGGCAGCAGUGGGGAAUAUUGCUCAAUGGGCGGAAGCCUGAUGCAGCAACGCCGCGUGCGGGAUGACGGCCUUCGGGUUGUAAACCGCUUUCGCCUGUGACGAAGCGUGAGUGACGGUAAUGGGUAAAGAAGCACCGGCUAACUACGUG
rnacentral:rRNA from 1 species